rnacentral:rRNA from 1 species
AGCGGAGGAAGAGAAACUAACGAGGAUUCCCGUAGUAACGGCGAGUGAACGUGGAACCUGUGCCCAGCACCGAAUCGGCGGCGGGGUGACCGUCGUCCGAGCUGUGGUGUUUGAGGCCCGGCGGAUCCUUCCCGGCGCACCGGUCUAAAUCGUCAGUGAGCCGCGUACCGUAGCGGGUGCUAGUCCCGUCCGGCCGGUGUCGUUUCGCGCGGGAGGGGGAGCGUCGGGUUCUCUCGAGUCGGGAUGCUUGAGAGUGCAUCCCCAAGCCGGUGGUAGGCUCCAUCUAAGGCUGAAUAAGGGCACGAGUCCGAUAGCGAACAAGUACCGUGAGGGAAAGUUGAAAAGCACUUUGAAGAGAGAGUUCAA